CAGCAGCCACGGGAAUACGUAGGGUGCGAGCGUUAAUCGGAAUUACUGGGCGUAAAGCGGGCGCAGACGGUUACUUAAGCAGGAUGUGAAAUCCCCGGGCUCAACCUGGGAACUGCGUUCUGAACUGGGUGACUAGAGUGCGUCAGAGGGAGGUAGAAUUCCACGUGUAGCAGUGAAAUGCGUAGAGAUGUGGAGGAAUGCCGAUGGCGAAGGCAGCCUCCUGGGAUAACACUGACGUUCAUGCCCGAAAGCGUGAGUAGCAAACAGGAUUAGAUACCCCCGUAGUCCCUGUCUCUUAUAC
rnacentral:rRNA from 1 species